rnacentral:lncRNA from 1 species
UUAUUCUUUAGUUGACUUUUUAUUCCCCAAAUUCAGUCUUUUUUUAUGUCUUACUUUGGUUACUAGAAUAGCUGUUGACCUCUUUUCCUUGUCUUCUGCUUUUCCCCACUGCAGUCCAUUCUGCCUACUAUUGUCAGGCCAGUUUUCCAUCUUUUCUCUUCGUUUUUAUGAGCAUGUGGGCAUAGACGGGAAGUAGUUCUGCACAGAGGAAAUGCCACUAAGAAAGGCAGUGCAGUUGAGUUCAACCAGUGCAUGAAAGAUGAGGAGUGGUUAAGUCAGAAACUGCCAGAGUAUGGGGAGAAGUGAGGUCAGAGGCAAGCUAAGAGCAAGGAUGCUGCUUUAGUUGAGGAAGUUUAGUGAGGGAGUUAGAGCUCCCUCAUGAUAAACUUAAGCUUGAGAGGUGACUUUUUGAGAUCUCUGAUUUUUCUUUAUAUAUUCAGCACCAAACAUAAUUUCUGGUUCAUAAAAAAAGUUCAGUAAAUGUUUCUUUGAUAAAUAAACAGCCUAAAGAUCCAGCAGAUUUUAAUUUUCAAAUGGCAAUAACAUGAAGUGCAAAUUGAAAGGUAGUGGCACUGGAUACAGUAGACCCAACACAUCCACUCAUCAGAUGAGAAAGCAUGAGAAUGAACUAAGGCAGCACCUUCCUGUAAUUGAAAAGGGAGGUAAAUUAAAUUAUGUAUUUUAUAGACAAAGUAAAGCAUAUUGUUGUAAUACAAUUACUUAUAUCACUGGUCCAUUUUGCUUUUCAGAGAUUUAGACAAUGAGUUUUAAGAUUAUAUUGUUCUCAUCCUAUAAACAUCUUUUGCAUAUUUUCUAGUACUAAGUAUUAUUAACUUAUUAUUAAGAAAGAUGUUUUAAGAAAAUUAAGCCUUAGAUGUGUUUAACAUAGGAUAUUCCAGAAGAUAUUCUUAAGAAUUUAGUGGAAGAGCUGCCUCAGCCUCGGAAAAUUCCAAAACGUCUAGAUGAAUACACCCCGGAAGAAGUAGAGGCUUUCCCGAGAGUAUGGUCUCCGUAAGUGUCUUUUUUCCUUUCUUCUUGUUUUUAUUUUUGAAGUCGAACUUGGUACCCUUGUUGUCUUCAGAUAAAUGAUAAGAUCUUUUAGGGUAGGAAGAGCCAAUUCAUGUUUUUACUCCCUUGUGAACUCAGCAGCUACUACUUGCAAAUAACCUCCAGAUGUUAGAUGUCAGAAUCCUGACCAUCUUGCUAGGUAAGUGCAAGGAUGAUGUCAGGUAUUUCAUUUGGGAUCUCCCCACCUGGAUAGACUGUAGUCUUUUGGAAUGAUAAAUGCAUUGUCAUCAACCUAAAAUGAAGGAAUUCUGUUUUUCUUAUUGCUUCUUAAGCCAAGAAUAUCAUCUAAUGAAAAGUCAUUAAUUCUGGAAUUUUAGUCUUGAUCCAAAUAGAAAAAUAAAAUCUUUUUCCUCUCUUCCAUACAAUUUUCUCUAUCUAAAAUCCAUAAAGCUGCUAAGAUUUGACAGGCUAUCUCCCAUCUAAUUGUUUCCAGGCUUCUUUGCCUGGGAUAUACAGACGAUGCAGCUCUAAAUGUCACUCCUCAAACAGUGCUUCCUGUAGUGUUUAAACUGGUUUAGUCUCCUCAUUAUAGGGUCUCAUUGUAUACUUUACUUUUCAUUUGCUGUGUUUAUUCUAAUGUAAUCAAAUAUUUGUGUGAUUUUCUGCUUAAUGUCUAGAUUUCAUGAGGGAACUACAUGCUUGUCUUCUUCAGCUCUGAUUACUGUACCCUACACGUUAAGUAUCUCUGAUUACUGGACUCAACAAAUAUUUGUUGAAUGGAUUAAUGCAGAUACAGAAUCUCCAUUAUCAGCUUUUAUAAGUGAAGUUAGAAAAGAAUAUCUAGAAGAUAUGAAGUAAAACACACUUUAUUUUUUCAUAGUAUAGAAUAAUAUAUUUAAUAUAUAUUUAUGUAUAAUAUAUAUUUAAUAAUAAUAUAUUUCCCUAUAUAUAAAAUCUCAUUUAUUUAUAUUCAUAUGUAUUAUUUAUCACUGCAUAAAUAGCAAUAAAAAUAACAAGGUGGUCAGGCACAGUGGCACAUGCCUAUAAUCCCAGUGGCUCAGUAGGCUGAGGCAAGAGGAUUGCACAUUCAAAGCCAACCUCAGCAACAGCGAGGUGUCAAGCAACUCCGUGAGACCCUGUCUCUAAAUAAAAUAGACUCAGUGGUUGAGUGCCCCUGAGUUCAAUCCCUGGUACCAAAAAUAAAUAAAUAACUAAUAAAACAUUUACAGUGUGCUUAACAUGGAUUAACAACCUGUUUCUGAGCAAAUUUGUGAACAUUAUAUUACAAUUUUUAUCCCUGUUUUUUAUGAAGGAAAAAAUAUUGGCAUAGAAGAUAAAGUAAUGCCUAAAAUGAUGUAAUUGUGAGUGGUGGGUUAGGAUUCAAGCUGAAGAUGACUAGCUCCUGGGUCUUGCUUCCAGCUACUCUGCUGAGUGCUCCUUGUUAAUAGUGAUUAUCAAAUACUAAAUGUGCCAAACAAGACAAAGUUUUGGUGAUGUUCUAAGUACUGAACAGCUUUAAGGGUUGAGGAGGCAUCAUCUGGUUCAGAAUUUAUAUCCCCAACUCUUCAUACUUGGCACAUUGUAGGUCCUCUGUAAGUGUUUUCAUUCUGAGUCCAUUUCCUUGUCUGAUUCAAUGUCUUCCACUGUAAAAUGGAGCUAAUUCAUUUAUUAGAGGAUUGCAGUAAGGAGUGAGCUAAUGUGCACAAAAAUGGAGUGCCCUGGAGGUGUUCGCCAGGUUUUGUGUAGGGAAUAUUUUUGCUUUUACAAAUUCAUAUUGUUUUAGCAUGCUUGCUAAUGUAUUUUAUAUAAGUGCACCUAAGUUAUAAGCCAUUCUCAAAUAUUAUGUUUUGAUAAACUAUAUACUAAAAAGGAAUUUAAAGUAGUUCUUGAAGUUUUGGCAUGUUACCUUCCUGUAACAAAUUCUGUAAAUAUAGGUAUGUCACAUAUUCUUAAAGAUACACCAUCAUAAAUGAGUGUAUAUUCCUAGUCAAGAGGGUUGUUACGCCUUUUUUUUAACUAGAAUUACCAAAGGUGCUAUUAAAUAUGUGACCACAGUAUGAACUUUGAGUUUUAUUUAUGUAUGUAUGUAUGUAUGUAUAUAUAUAUAUAUAUAUAUAUAUAUGUGUGUGUGUGUGUGUGUGUGUGUGUCUGUGUGUAUGUUUAUAUAGAGGGGGGUAGAAUGCUGAAAUGUGCUUUAAAUCAGUUCAGUCAAAGCAGUGCAAUCAUAUACUAAACCAUUUACAACAAAUUAUAUUUAGUGUUAUUAUAAUCAAAUGAAAUCACAGCACUUAUUUUACUUAGCAAUUCUUGCUAUGUUUUAAAACAAACUGAAAGGUGACUGUUCAUUAUGUUAAUAGAAUUAGGAAAGGCUUUUAGAGACUUUUAGACAAACUUACAGCUACUUGAUGCAUUUUUAGUUACUUCCCCAGGAAUGAGUUUUCCUGUCCUUUCUUUUCAUUCCAGAGUUCCCUGUGACAGGAAUAUGCAUUAGACACCAGGCUUUCCUUUACACUUUAUUAAAGUUGUGAUCUUUUCUCAUUACUUGUCACACAACAUAUGUUAACUUGUGUUUCCAGACUAAUAAAGUGGAAAUACAUUUACUGAAACUUAAGAGUAUAUCACAGUAUAGGUAUACUAAUCAUUUAAUGCAAAUAAUUCACAAUGUCAUUCUCCUUGCAUAUUGCAGGUGUCAUCAAGUCCAGUUAGCUUGUUACAUGAAAAUCAUGUGACCAGGAAAAGAAUAAGUCAUUUUUGGUUCACCAAAAACCUUGUCUAAGAAAUAGAUGAUCUUUCAGUUCAAGACUAUUUAGUUGCACUUUCUGCAAUAAGAAAGCUUUAUAGCUGAACUUCAUAUAGAGUUACUGGCCACAUGUGGCUCCUGAGCACUUGUACCAUGGCUGGCGUGAGUGAGGAACUGAACUUUUUAUUGAAUGUAAUUUUAAUAAAUUUAAUUUCAGUAGACACAAUGUGGUUAGCAACUUACUGGACCAUAUCACCUUCAUUGUUUUAUUAUUUCCUAAAGGUCUUAUACUUUAGAAUUAGAAUUAAAAUAUCUGAUACACCAGGCCAUUCAGUGCAUUGGAAAUGGAAUUUCUCAUUAUUGGAAGGCUUGCCUUUACAGGAAGAAAUAUAGUUUCUCCUUCUGGAGGAACCUACUUAAAAUAUGCUUUUGCUCCACCCAAAAUAGCUAAGCCAAAAAUAUAAUCUUCCUUUGGAAUGUACUAACUGGAAUUUAUUCAACAUAAAUCUGAUGAUGAAUCUGCAGAGACUUGACUGGAACACAUAUACCUGAAUUUCACCACAAGUAAACAGACACAAAAAUAGCUUGCUUUUGUUUUUUAUUCCUUAGCAAUAAAACUUAAAAUAUAUUUAUAAUAUAAAUGUAUACAUCAUCAUUGGUACUUUUGUUAACUUUUGGUAAAAGGAAAGCUCAUUGACUUUUCUAUUAGAGGUUAGAAACUUUUGAACAACAGUAAUAAUUGUCAGGCUAAGCUUUGAGUCCUGUAGAUGACUAAUAGAAUUGUUUUAAUUAAAACCUACCAUAGUUGGGAAUUUAAAUAAUUUUAAGUCACUGACAAAGCUUGUAUAUUUACAGCUCUAAUUUUAACAUAUGUUGUAUUUUCUUUUGCUAGUUAUUAAUUGUGCAGUCAUUUUUAAAGUAAUGGGGAAAAACAAAGAAUGGAACAGAUAUUUAUGACAAAAUUAUAAAUAAUUUCUUUAAAAGCUAUUUUCCUAUAUGGGUAGUAUUGGCCAUUCAUCUCACUUCUUCAGUUAGUGAAUAUAUAUUUGGCAUAUUAGUAUUUUUUACACUUCAUGAAUAUAUGAAUUUUGCAAGAAAAUGUUAUGAAAUAUCUUAUUUCUCUUGGUGGUACAGAGCAGAUGUGUGUUUUCCAUGAGUAAGUGGUGAUAUGGGGAUUGCACUUAGAAUUUCUUUUUAUGAAAGGAAAGGAAAAACAAUAGGGCUGUCCUUUCAUAAUAGUUCACCUGCCUGAAACUGUUAACUUUUAAAUGGAUAACUCAUUUUAAUACUAUCAUAAUUAUCCCCAUAACUGUUGCAAUUUUGCCAACACAUUACAGAACUCCAACUAUCAUGAAAAUUAUAAUGCUAUCACUGUAAUCAAAUUUAUUAUGUAGACUAAAAAUAACAGGUUAUUUAAAUUUUUUAUUUCCAAUUUUUAUGAAAUUAUGAGGUGAGAUUUUUUUCUUAGGAAAAUCUACAUAGAUGGGAAAUCUCAAAUUGCUUCUCAUUAUGAUUUCUUACUCAUUAAUUCAGUAAUGCUUUAUUUUAAGCAAAACUCUCAACCUUUAUAGAGAAACUUAAAUGUGAAAAGUUUCAGUAUUAAUGAAUGUUUGAAAAUACAUAUUUAUAAUGAAAAUCCAUAUUCCUGGUGUUUACUUUUUACAGAGUGUGUUACAGAAGUGUGCCUGCAAAGGAGAGAUGGGUGGAAAAGAUGAAGGUGUGAGGAUGGCCAUGACUGGCUCUGUAAUUUUCUUUCCAGUGGUUAGGAUUAGGAUUAGAGUUCAAUAGGCACUCCAUCCAGCUAGGUAAAAGGAAAGCAGGGCUCCAGCAGCUGAGAACUGUAACCCUAGAAAAGGGCACUGUUGAGCAUUCUUCAGUCUGCAGCUCUAGAAGAGAAUAAGGACUUAAGGUAGUGUAUGCUCCCCUAAUAUGAAAGCUAUUAAUCCUCAAAGUUUUAAGUGAUGCUGAGCAAAAAAUUGUACCUAUGUCUUUAGAAAGAGUGCUUUAGAUCAGAGAGUUAAAACACAGUAAGGAAGGAUUUUUACCUUUUCCAAUCCCAUAAGGAGCUGGGGUCUGGACAGCUUUAAGAUUUUCCAUAAUUUUAUGCUAGUCUAGUCAUGUGGCAUUUUCCCAGAAGAUUUAACUUAAUUUGCUGCUCUUUACAGUCAGAAGUUAUUAGCUGGACUUAGGGAACAAGGUUACUUUCCAACUUUCCCAUCCAUUUCAACCAGCUCAGCAUUGGCUUAAGCCAUAGACCUCAGUAUUUCCAGUGCUGCUGAGUUUGCUCAAAUUAGGUAUUCUAAGUAGUAGUGUUCUUUGAUAUGAACAGGUCAAGACUGGUUGUUAAAAUAAAAAAAAAAGGAAUCUAUUUAAAACAACAAAAAACAGAUUAUUUACAAGCCCUAGCCAAUAUAGAUUCUGAUUUUUAAAAGUGAUAAUUGAAUGUAAUGGCACUUCCUUUUCAAUUUAAUUAAAAAACAUAAUUUGAAUUUUAAACAUGAUAAACAAUCAUGUGAUUUUAGAUUGUUUUAAAGCACAGUGUGAUCAGGGUAUGAGAAAGCUGAGUGCCCGAUGGAAAUGUGUAUAAAGUGCCAUCACUGAAAUUUACUCUUCCCUGUCCAGCUAACACAUUUAAGAACCAUGUGCUGUACCAGACUGCCUGGAAUGGUUUAUUCUACGUAUUCUGUCUGUGCAAUAGAAGUGACUUAAAACUCAAUUAAACUGACUUUUUAUUGUUUUUUCAGACUAUGUCACUGUUCAGAUUUUAUUGUAGUCUUUUAAAUGGUGUCUAGAAUAACUAUUAUACUAACAAAGACCAGAACUAAGGGAGAAGAAAAUAUUUUUGAGAUUUAUUAAACUUAAGUUAUGCCCAGUUUCUUAGAUUUACAACUGAGAUAUGAAUGCUUUUUUUUUAGAAAAUAAAUUAUGUUAGGACUAAUAUAUUGUCACUAAUUUAACUGUAGUAUAAACAUUGUGCUAAAUAAUCUUGUUUCCUUGUAUUUGCAAACUACAUACAUUCUUUCCACCAGUAUACAAUAUCCACUAUAAUCUCUUAAAGUUUUUUUGAAGUCAAAAGAUUCUUUUUAAAAAUGAUGCCAUUUUCAGAAUAAUAUAAAUGUGUUGACCUCUAUCAUUUCCAUAUUCUAAAUUUGAAUCUGUGCAUUUCUGCAGUGUGCCUGUUUAUUUAAUAGGUGUCAGAUGAUGUUUUGCAUAGAGACAUGUGUGAUAAAGGAUUUACCCUACAAAACAAUUACAUAAGAUGUGGUGUGAUUUGAACAGUUAAGAGCGAUUUCAAGGAAACUAGAAUAUUUUCUAUGGCUCAGACAGGCCCUUUUGAUGUAUUUCCUCAUUCAAAAAAAGUAAUUUUUUAAAAAAUUAUGUUGUUUAAAGGCAAUUUUCUGUUGGUGAUGAAUAUUAUUGGCCAAAUAGAUUGUUGCUAUGGAACAUUUGCUAGCUAUGAAAAAUACAGAAAAUGAAUUAAAGAAAAUCUUAUGUUCGAUCAUUCUUGGAAGAUUCAAAAAUCUUCCAAGUAUAUCCUAAGUACACAUGAAAGUGGAAACUUUUACCUUUUUCUUCAAAGGUCAAAAUAUCUGUGUGCAUAUAAUUAAUGAAUUGUAUAAAAUCUAUUAUAUGUUAUAGCUAUAUUAUAUAUUAUAUAUAUUACAUAUUAAUAUCUCUCUGUUAGGAAACUCUCUUUCUCCUGACACUACUCCUGUAGCCAUAGCAGCACCGGACCACUCAAUAAAUAUGUGUUGAAUGAAAGAAUGCCUGAACAAAUAGAUGGAAUCAAAUUCUCUGUAAAAGAUAGAAAUUGAUUUUUAAUUAAUUGUUAUAGUUUAUAUUUAUAUUUUGGUCUUUGCUGCCUUUUUAACACUUUCUUAAUAACUUCAGCUAAGGUACAAUUUUUCCUUAAUAGUCUGCUCUAAUGCAACUGAUAUAUAUAAAUUUGGAUACUUUAUAUUACAUAUCUAAAGAAAGAUCAUGGUAAUUUUGUUAAAAUACAACCUGUAUUUCUGCUGAGGAGUAAAUUUUUAUGAUUUUCAUCAAACCCAUAAAAAUAAGUAGGCAUUAGCUUUCUGUAAAGGAUUUGAAAUCUCUCUCUCCAAAGAUUACCUAAGAUCACUUUAAGAAUGCUAUUACCAUUAACAAAUACAUUAACAUUGCAUAAUGCCUUUUAAAAGUUGAUAAUUGGUUAUUUCCAUUGAAAGAGUUACAGAGAAUUAGGACAAAAGUAGAAUACAAAUUCACCUAUCAUCCCUCUGGCAGAAAUUCAAGUCAUUUUAGUAAAGUUUCAGAUAUUUAAGCAGAUGAAAAGCAGCACAAUGGAUGCCAAAUUUUUUGCCUUAAAAAUUACUUAAUGUUAUAAAGAGAUUAGGCAGAUUUCAGGACAGAAUAGGAUAGAUAUGUAAGGAAGAUAAUCUGAUAAUUCAAUCCUAGUUACUUAUUUACCACAGGGGUCCCCAUCUUUUAAAGAACCUAAAUAUAGUGAAAUUUACUUGAUAUUAAAGGUACUUAGACUACAAUUUAAUCUCUCUUUGAUGAUGGACACCAAAGAAAUUUCAGUAGCCAGCCUUAUUAUAGGUUAUUAUCACUAAGAUAUGUAUUGUAUCAGAAAAACACAAUACUGUCUGUGAAUGUAGUCCUCUGUUAGUAAAGAGCCAGGAAAGAUACUUUAUCUCAAAUGGAGUCACCUCUAGCUGAGGAAGCCUGUUGCCUUCUGUUAGGCACAACAGAGUGUUAAAAAUUGACUUUCUGAAGUGCUUAUUUUAUUUUCAAACUUUGUCAAGAAAUUGUUUCCUUCUGUCACCAAGGAGCUCUGUCCGAGCUUAACCCUUGCUAGAGAGUGAGGGACAUGAACCAGCAUUUUGUCGUGUGGAACAUGUUAGGAAUACAGAACUAUGAACCUGCUGCAGAAUAAAUGAAAUCAGAGAUACGUUUUUACUUGAUCUCUGUGCCCACUCAAGUUUGAGAAACAUCAAAGAAAAUAGCUCUUCCAUCACUUUUUUAUAUUAUCAUAGGUUUUCUUCUUUUAGUGGAAGGGAGGAAGCAGUGCAAAUAAGUUUUAUGUGUGCUUACUUUUGUGUUUGAAACAGAAAAAUAGAGUCAUUUUUAGUGCAAACCUCUUUUCCCCACAUGGGAACCUUCUGAAGUCAUAUGAUGUUGUUAAUUGCCUCCACUACGAAAGGAUGUUUCUAGCCAUACUAGUGUCUAGAAUCUAGUCCAAUGGCCAUGACACUGUCCACCCCCCAUCCUCUCCUUGAGAGCAAGCUAAUUAUCAGAAAAAAAAAAACCUGAUUAUGUGUCAGGAGGAAGAGGAAAGGAUGGAUUUGUAAACAAAGUGGCAUAACAAAGGCAGUAGCUAUGCAGCAUGACAGGUUACCAGCAUCCACACUCUGCCAAGCACUAUGCUUGUUGCUGGGAAUGUAAGAUCAAUCAUGAUGGUACUCUGUCACCAAAGGAACUGGCAGCCUAAUAGGAGUCAAAUGGAAUAAAAUGGCCCUUGCAAGCACUGGAAUCACAUGAUCUGCCAUCAAAUCCCUGCCAUCUUCUUCCUAGCUCUGUAUCAUUAACAAAUUACUGAGCCACUCAGCCUCAGUUUUGUCAGUGCAAAGUCAGUUUAAUAGCAAUGUCUUUCUUUCAAAGUGGUUGUGAGGAUAAAGUAAAAUAAUUAACCUGAAGUAGUUGCUACACUUCGUGACACCUAAUAAACAUUCGGCACAAGUAAGUAAAAGCAAGUAUAAUUUAAGAAACACUGUGGUAGAAGUACACAGAAAUUUUCUGGGAAUCACAGACAAAGGAGGCCUGCCUGGCUUAGAGAGGGAAAGUAGGGAAGAGCUUGCCAGAAGAUGUAACCUUUGGGGUGAAUUUUGAAAGAUGACUAGUCAAGUUUGCCAGCAGAGAAAAGAUAAGAGAUUCCAAGCAGAGGACAUUUCAAGUACCCGAGUCAAAUCCAGCACUGUGGAGGUUUUUAUCUGUGAAAUAGCAGGCAGUGUGGAGGGACUGGGGUGCAGAAAGACAGGAUAUAAUAAGAAUGACUCAGAGAGGUUAGCUGAGGCCAUGUCACGGAUUAUAUGUUUAAUUCUGGAGAAGUUGAACUGUGCUAAGACAAGAGAGGGCCUUUGACAGUUUAAAGCAAAGUCACAUGAUAUGGAGAAGUGAGAUGGAAGACAAGGAAUCUGUUAGAGAUUUAUUCCUCCCUGUCAUAGUUCUCUUAAAUGUCAAACUCAAAUUUCUAGCUGCUUACUAUGUCCAGAUUCCAUCAUGCUCAAAAUCAAUCCUGUCCCCUAUCCUGAAAAAUAGCACAGCCAUUCACUGAGUUCUUCAAGCUGAAAAUUAGUAAUUGUCUUUGAAUCCUUACCUUCUAGUAGCUCCUUCUUCCCUCACCUCCCUGGCCUUUCCCCCCCUCCCCCUUUCCACCCACCCUGUAGACCAACUGUUGCUCUCUGCUUCCAAAAUUCUGAACCUGACCUUUCUUCUCACUCACUACUGCCAUAGCCCUAACAGAACCCUCAUCUCCAUCCCCCUCACUUCCUCUUAAAAAAAAAAUAUCUGCUUGUAACAAAUCAAGGCUUCAUCCAGCUCCACUUGCCUUGGGGUCAGUAUCCACAUGCCCUUAUCUAGCAGAUUACACACUUCUUCCACAUUUCUAAUUCUGCUUCUAAAUUCUACUAAAAGGUGGUAUCAUCAUUUCAUUUUGACUUAAGAAAUUAACCUCUGUUGUGGAAACAACUAGUGACUGACCAAACACAUUUAAUUUUAUUGAGUGGAAUUGCAGAGAUUUCUUGUGGGAAAUUAACUCAGAAGAUUUCUUUCCAGUUGCAUCACCACCAGCUCCUUUGUAAUUAUGUGAACCAGCUGGAUAAAAGAAUAAAUUGCUUCUUCAAAUGUACUGGUGUCAUUUAACUAGGAGCUGCUUUCGUUGUAUUGAGUCAAAUAGCAAAGGUUAAAUGGGUACACAUUGGGGCCACUUUUAGCUAUCCUAUCCCAUUUUCAUUUCUCAGACUUUGGUUGCAGUUUUUACAUUUGGAAAGAGAUUUCAAAAAUACAGUGACAAAACGCUGCAGUUAUCUCUUGUUGUUAUAGAUGGCUGAUAUGGUAAAGCAUACCUGGCUCACUUCCUAGAUCAGUGCCUGUGGUCCUCAGCUUAACAAUAAAACAAUUUCAAAUUAAUAUAGCUUUUUUACUGAGCCAGUAGACAGUGGUCUUCUUAGCUGGGCUAUCUGAUAGCUUAUGAGUAUUCCAUUUAAGAAAAUGUACUAUAAAUGUGGAAAUGGAAUAGAUAAGUCAUUUCAGGGCAAACAGUAUAUCUACUUUUUAAAAGAACUCAAAUUAAGAUAUUUUUAUAGUUGUUUCAAAAAUAUCUAUUUAAUGUAAAUGUUACUGUUCUCCUUCAGAAAAUUCUAUGAGAGCUUAGUAACUACAAAUACCCAACUGAAAGACAACAGAACACUUUAAAUUUGGGGACAAUUUAUAAUUUCUUAUUCUUCCUUUUCUCUGUUAUGAUUCUGUUCUUUGUUUUAUCUAUUGUUAGAUUUAACACUUUCUUAAUUUUCCUUGUUUUAAUGUGUUCUGAAGGAAGUGACUCUCAGGUUUCUAUUAUAAAGUAUAUAAUACUUAUAUACUUUACUGUAAGUACAUAAAUGAGGGAAAAUCAAUUAUACAUUUGUAAAAAUAUCAAAGGCCUGGUGUUUAGAUAUUCAUGUUGUUUAUGUAUCAUAAUGAAAAUUAAAUCUAGCAAAUGAUAAAAUAAUAUAAAUAGGGAAAUUGCACAUUUAAAAUCUGCAUUUGUAUGGCAAAUCUAUUUUUUAUGUGAUUUUAAACUCCUGAAGAUUACAGUGAGAAGAGUUUAAUGAGAAACUGUUCAAAAGUGGAGCAGAGGUUGUAAAUUAUUCAGUAACUAUAUAUAUAUACAUAGGCACAAGUUGACCAUGUGUUUUCAAAAGAACUUCAGAUUGUCACUUAAAUUUUCUAUUUUGUGAUGUUUUGGCUUUAGUGUUUUUUAACCAUAUAUUUAGAUGCAAUAUUUGUAGAAUUUUUCAAUGAAUCGUUGCUUUCAUUGUAAAUUGGAGAAAUAAUCUCCCUUCCUUAGUUAGAAAAAAUAACAAUCCAUGAAGAAAUGAAUGUUGAUUUUUUUUUUUUUUUAAUGUCUUUCAGGCCUGAAGAUUAUCGGAUCUAGGAGAAGGAAAAUUACAGUGAAGUGAUUUAGGCUUCUUCCUGAUAAGUUUCUCUGCCUUAGAACAGUGAAACAACUGCUUCAGGAAACUGCACUAAGACUCGUUAUUUUAUGAAUUGUUUCAUUAUGUAAUGAUUGAAAUAAAACUGCUUCCUGGUAGGAAGUACCAAAACAAUGCCCAUCUCUGGA